GCUGGGCGUGGUGGUGCAUGCCUGUAAUCCCAGCUACUCAGGAGGCUGAGGCAGGAGAAUCGCUUGAACCCAGGAGGUGGAGGUUCAGUGAGCUGAGAUUGAGUCACUGCACUCCAACCUGGGUGACAGAGUGAGACUCUAUCUCAA
rnacentral:SRP_RNA from 1 species